UUCCUUGCGUCUGAUGUUUCCUUAAACUAGGCUUAUCGUAUUGAUCUAUCAUCUUGUGAUAUUUUCUUUUGAUCUUUGUAUGAGACUAACUCUUCUUCAGAGUUUGUCUAAGACCUAGGACUAGUUUUAUGAAUUUGAGUCAUCUAAAACAUUCCAAGUAACUUUGUUAGACAACCAAAACAUAAUAUUAUUUAUUAUUAUUAGUAUUAUUAUUAUCAUCAUCAAAACCAUGGGUGUCUUAAGCAAGAUUUUCAGAUGUAGAUUUGUGUCAAAACAUGAGUAAUACAUCUGUGUUAACAACGGGAAGUUAAGUGUUCUCUUGUAUUCUGUUAUGUUUCUUUCAGAUCAGUUAGCUUUGUUUCAGAUCAGUUAGUUUGAUUGCUUUAUAUACUUGUAUUUACUCUUCAGAAAUUACAAAAUUUAUGUUCACAUAAAUUCUAAAAUGUCUCUCCUCUUUCUCAAUCGUAAUAUCUUAUGUCACUUUUUUAAUUCAGACAUCGAAGGAAUUCAUUGCUGUUGCAGGGUCAGAGGUGGCAUCUGUAACAAACCUAUAUUCUGU
rnacentral:lncRNA from 1 species